CCUACGGGUGGCAGCAGUCGAGAAUCAUUCACAAUGGGGGAAACCCGGAUGGUGCGACGCCGCGUGGGGGAAUGAAGGUCUUCGUAUUGUAAACCCCUGUCAUGUGGAAGCAAAUUAAAAAGAUAGUACCACAAGAGGAAGAGACGGCUAACUCUGUGCCAGCAGCAGCGGUAAUACAGAGGUCUCAAGCGUUGUUCGGAAUCACUGGGCGUAGAGCGUGCGUAGGCUGUUUCGUAAGUCGUGUGUGAAAGGCGCGGGCUCAACCCGCGGACGGCACCUGAUACUGCGAGACUAGAGUAAUGGAGGGGGAAGCGGAAUUCGCGGUGUAGCAGUGAAAUGCGUAGAUAUCGAGAGGAACACUCGCGGCGAAGGCGGGUUCCUGGACAUUAACUGACGCUGAGGCACGAAGGCCAGGGGAGCGAAAGGGAUUAGAUACCCGAGUAGUC
rnacentral:rRNA from 1 species